UACGAGGGGGGCGAGCGUUGUUCGGAAUUAUUGGGCGUAAAGCGCGCGCAGGCGGUCUUCCAAGUCAGUGGUGAAAGCCCGGAGCUCAACUCCGGAACUGCCAUUGAAACUGUGAGACUUGAGUAUGAGAGAGGUGAGUGGAAUUCCCAGUGUAGAGGUGAAAUUCGUAGAUAUUGGGAAGAACACCGGUGGCGAAGGCGGCUCACUGGCUCAUUACUGACGCUCAGGCGCGACAGCGUGGGGAUCAAACAGG
rnacentral:rRNA from 1 species